CAGGAGGAGGAGCUACCCAUCAGCCUACAAAAUUAUAGAGUAUAUUUGCUUGGGAGAGUUCAGGAACAAAUUACCAGGUCUGCAGAAUUUGGUGUCACCUAAGCAGUUAAUAAGAACACUACAACUGCAGAGACACAGGUAUUGUGUGUGACAAUAACAGAGCUCUCUCCAAGCAAAGGUAAAGCUGUUACAAUCCAACCUUGUCCAACACCUGAGACGUGGAAGAGAAAACUUGGACAGUGUUCCUUAUUAAUAAGCGCAGCAGUUUGUUGACCAUCAGGGGAAUGCUGUAAGGCCCAGUGUUUUACCAUGUUGGAAUGGCUGAAGCAGUAAUUGAGAAGUAAGGAUUUAUACAAGUCACUUCAGUUCAACUUCAACUCUUUGAAACUGGGCCAAGGAGACCAAUGGAUAAUUUAUGACCCCUUUUGGAGACAAUUUACCUGGAAAUACAUAGUGAC